rnacentral:rRNA from 1 species
CCUAUGGGGCGCAGCAGUGAGGAAUAUUGGUCAAUGGGCGAGAGCCUGAACCAGCCAAGUCGCGUGAAGGAUGACGGCCCUACGGGUUGUAAACUUCUUUUGUCAGGGAGCAAUUGAGUCCACGUGUGGUCUUAGCGAGAGUACCUGAAGAAAAAGCAUCGGCUAACUCCGUGCCAGCAGCCGCGGUAAUACGGAGGAUGCGAGCGUUAUCCGGAUUUAUUGGGUUUAAAGGGUGCGUAGGCGGAAUAUCAAGUCAGCGGUAAAAAUUCGGGGCUCAACCCCGUCGUGCCGUUGAAACUGAUGUU